CAUAUACUGACAUGUGAUAUCACGUCUGUCAUCCUCUGUAAAGGGAUGGAGGGAAUCAAGGAAAGUUGGAAUUGUAGCCUUCCAUUUCAAAGGAACUUCAAACAAUGGAGUGUGACAAGCAUACGCUUUGGUUUAUAAACUGCAGAAUGGCUGUCGUGACUCACACACCAAUGACUGCAUGGGAACAUGGUGUCUAAUAAUGGCCCAAACAGCAGGAGAAUGAUUUUGUGGAACCCCAAGAGAUGGGUCCCACCAUUACAUUACUGCGGAGGGACCACACCUUUCCCAUCUAAUCAGAGCAUAGAACACUGACUCACAUCUUCAGUGGCUGCUCAAAAGCUCUGGCAGAUGGACGCUACUGUUGGUGUCAUGAACAAGCUUUGAAGCCAGUUGCACUGACCAUCACUGCAGCAAUAGAAGCAACCAAAUUUACAGUAUUUACUUCCGUGCACUUUUUCUUACUUUCUUUCACAGUUGUUUGCUAUAUUGUUUUACACAAGACUACAAUCUAAUAUUUUUUUAUCUUGGAUUUGGAUUCAGGUUUGAUUUCUGAUUCAACCAAAAUCACAACUUCAGGGGAAGGUGGAUCAAACCUACUUGUGUUUCUCAUCUCAUGCUGACUUUCUGGACACUACCACUACCCCACUGACGUCAGCUUUCCUGUGAAGAUGUACUGCACUUUGAUGAGCAUCAGUGGGUUGACUCCAGACUAAUACCUAAAGUCUGUCGUUGUUCAUUAAUUGCUUUUCUGUGCAUCUUAUAUUAUUAUUCCAUGUAUUUACUGGCUCUACAACUUCUUUGGAGACUGUACCACUGCUGGUGCUCACCUUUCCUUACUAAAUAGGCAAAUGGUGCUCUGCCUUACUGACCUACCACCUGUCCAUUGGUUGCAUUUCUACUGUGCUGGAACACUCUCAUGACAACUUUACUACAUCCAAACAGCAGAUGCUCUAAACUGGCAUUUUUUCUGAAGACCUCACAUAUGAAGAAUUGGAUAACCUCCCAGUGAUAAAAGGAACUACUAAGGAGGUAUUGAUUGAUUCGGAAAUUGUAGAG